CCGCUAUCUCCUAAGGAAGCCAUCUCUUUUACUUUUCUCCCUUGAAUUUUGUCAUCAAAAUUGUACCUCGGAUAUUUUCAGACUUACCUCCUGAUUGGAGCCAUGGCAGACUGAUUCAUUACGGGCGGGCAGAACUGAACAAAGUGAUCACCGUCCUGUGAUUGCAAUUAUCGAUAUCGAGAUUUACAAGGUGAACCCUGAUCUGCGGGCGAAAGUCCUGAAAGACGUCAUCCAGGACCUCGGCCCCCCUGACUCAACCAUCAUCGUACAGGUGGAGACAGAUGAAGAAGAAAAUGUGUUUGAAGAGUUGAUGCCAGCUUUACUCCAAGAGUUAUCGCAAGUUGGGGAAGUUGUUUUAGUCAGAUUUGUAGAAGAUACGAUGUGGGUCACUUUCAGAGAUGGACAAACUGCUCUUGCUGCGGCCAAAAAAGCCAACACUCAGGUCAGACCUUUUCCCGGAAGAUUAUUGCCAGUCAAACAUAACAAAAAUAGCGGAAUACCCAGAUAUAUAGUUUAUAUAAGCAGGAUCGAGAAGUGGGAAAAUCUUUUGAAACGGUUCAAAGUUAUCUUGUAGAAAAAUUGUAAUAUUUCUUUCUACCUGCAGAUCUCCUGUGGAUCCCUUAAUCUAUCUUGAUAGAUGUUUUUUGAACACGCAAUGGGCAACGAAAGCAAUGAUAGGCGGCCCAUCAUAUUUUUCAGCCCUGCUUUUCUCAACAUUGACUCACAGAAAGUUGGAUUUUAAAAGCUCAUCACUCUCUGGAGCUUGUAUAGAAUAUCAUAUCAAAUAAUAAAAAAUUCAGUAGGCGUUGAAUUCUUCUUGGGUUUUCUCUGCAGGGUACUCUAGGUUUAAUGAAAUAUUAUUCUCAUGUUCAUGCAUGCCUCCGACUCUGUUGCAGGUCUGUGGCUACAAAUUACACUUAAGUCUGAAAACUCCUGAUUGGUUGACCGAGUCAUGCACGAGCUAGAAUUUUGCUCUGCCAAUACAGUAUCUCUCUGUGAUUCGUUUUCAAACCUCUGUGCCAGCUCUAACACUGUUUCUGAUCUCAGUCCAGGUCACAGAGCUGUGGAUCGGUGCAAGUCCCCCUCAAGGCCUGCUCAACCACCCAGACCUAAAGUCAAGGCUGGCGUUUUAAGCAUCCCCGUGAAAGAGCCGCCUCGACCGCCACCUCCAUCUGAUUAUCAACAGCCCAUCUCCGGUGGUGCAUUCCUGCGCGAUGAGCUGGAAGCUACCACACAAAUGACUCGGCAAUCUACGAAGAAAUAGUCUCGGAAGAAUUCGAGAGUGCCCCUAUUCCCUCUGGACCUCCACCGCCACCACCUGUGAUAUCUAACCCUCCCCCGCUCCCUCACCGCACCCUACCCCCACCACCAAUCCCCAGCCGAGAGGCCCCGCCUCCAAUCCCGGCUCGUAGCGGGGGUCCUCCACCUCUACCGGCUAGACCUGUUUCUCGACCCAACUAAGCUUCAAGCAUUCCUCAUAAAAUUAUACUCACGUAAACACGACUUUUUACGAAUUGGAAUUUAUAGAUAAAGCCAGGCGCAGUGCAACUGCUGUCUCAAUUUUGUCUUUUUCUGAAAGUUCGAACUUUUCCGAUUCGCCGACAACCAAUUUUAGACUAAAAGUAGGUAUCUUUUUUUCAUCCAAUGAUAAAAAAGACACGUAAAAGUAAGCAAGGAGCACCUUUUAUUUUUUGUAUAAAAAAUAACUUAAUAACUUACAAAGUAGUUCAGCGGUAGAAGAUUUAGUUUGAUUUCCUGUGUAUCAUAUGUUUAAUUUUGACAUUUUGAAAUCAAAUGCGGACUCCACAGUAAAUAAAGGAGUUUGGUGAAGAGAGUGUCAAACAAAGUGGUUGCAAACUUAGCAAAUAUAUUUGAAGAUCAUUAAUUCAUUUUUGUAAAAUUCUUGCUCGGCAUUAGUUUGAUAAAACCCUGAUAAUAAUUCAACUUACAUUUAUAUUUUUCGCGUUUUUAAAAAAUAAGUACUUAUGAAAAUGUCUGCUGGCAGUUAUUUUAUGAAAAAGUUUGAACACUCUUAUCUUCCGAGGUGUUACAGAGGAAAUAACUCAAACAAGCCAUAGUUUGUAUUUUUAUUCUAACUUUGAUUGGGCUUUCUCAAGCAACCGUAUGAAAUGAAAUCUUGCCGAUAUUCCAUGAUCUCAUCUGGAAAUUCUAUGUUCCUGUUUUUAUGAAUUCCAUGAUGACUGCUUUAUUUGAAGUGUGCAUAGAUAGUUAGCCAAGUUUGAGCAAAAAUUGACUGAGUCGAUGAUUAACUUUGGAAUGGUCCUUUCUAUACACCUAACAUUAUAACCUCUGUCUCAAAACUACCUAAUUUUUUGUCAUUCAUCGAGACAAUAGAGGAUUGCAUCCGUGAAUGAAAUGUCUCCAGACGCUAAAGCAGUGAAUGAAUGGUGUUUUGAAUUUGAAUUUUUUCUUAUUUAAAAAUUUUUGAAGAUUGUAUUUGUAUCAUUUUGAUGUAUGACAGAUGAACCUAACCUAAAUUUAGCCUAACGUCUAUGCAGCUAUAUCAAAAUUAUUUGCUUGGCAUUGUACCCUCAAUUACAAUGUAUCUGCUAUAAUCAUUGUUUUUAGAUCAUAUCUUUACAUCUUUCUAUCUAUUCCAAGUCAUGAACGAUGAUUCCUGUUAAGUUUGUAAUAUUUAGUAUUAUUGUACGUAUGAUGAUUUUUGUUUAACUCCAUGUAUAGUGUCUGUUUUUGUAGACAUUGUGUAAAUUAAUAUUUAAGUCUAUUUUUUGCCUCCUUUUGGGCUCUUCGAUUCCUCCUACUUUUUUUAUAUUUUUUUUUUUUUUGUGGUACCUACCAAAGUUUCUCUAAUGGUGGAGGUUCCCUAAUUAAGGCCACACAUUUCUUGUUUGGAUUAGUUGCAAGAAACUAAGUCUUUGCGAAUU
rnacentral:lncRNA from 1 species